GCUUCAGCUGACUAAUAACCUUUUUAGGGACUGGAAAGUUUGAGAGGGACAAAUUGGGAUAAAGAGCCCUGGGGCACAAAAGCCCCCGGAAAAGUCUGGGAAAAGAAUCCCAUCUGGGAUGCCUCACCUGAGGCUGAUAUCCUUGCAGAUGAUGAUGGAUGAGAUUCUCCUUGGCCCCUCAAAGAAAUCAGACUGGGAAACACCCACAACACUGAAUUCUGAGCUACUUGAAGGCAGGCAUAUCUACUGUACAAGAAUGAUCCAGUGAAGUAGACAUCUAUUUUACAGAUGGGAAGACUAAGGCUAAAAGAAGUUAAGCAACUUGCCCAGGAGAACACAGUAACGUUCUGACUCCAAGACCCUAUACUCUGUCCAUUGUACCAUGUAGCUGCUUCUAAUCGACUCUAGUAAAAUAACCUCAAACAGA